UACAGAGGUCUCAAGCGUUGUUCGGAUUCAUUGGGCGUAAAGAGCGCGCAGGCGGUCGUUCAAGUCGCGUGUGAAAGCCCCCGGCUCAACUGGGGAGGGUCACGCGAUACUGAUCGACUCGAAGGCAGGAGAGGGUAGUGGAAUUCCCGGUGUAGUGGUGAAAUGCGUAGAUAUCUGGAGGAACACCGGUGGCGAAGGCGGCUCUCUGGAACGCAACUGACGCUGAGACGCGAAAGCGUGGGGAGCAAACAGG
rnacentral:rRNA from 1 species